ensembl:lncRNA
GUCAUGUGGAAUUAUUUUGUGCAGCUGACCUUUUAAAAAUUAAUGUAAUGACUUUUAAUGAUGACAGAUGGAAUGCACACAUCCCUACUGAACAGGUUUUUACAGAUAAUGCAAUCUAUUUGAAGCACUGCAAUGGAAAUCACUAUGAAGUUGUUACUUGUGUUAAACAUAAAAUUCAAGAAAAUGUAUGUUCAAAAGCAUGUAACAUUGAAGUGGAUGAUCAGAGCACAACUCGCAAUUUGCGAAAAAGGAAAUUAAAUGACAUAGCAGAGUAUUCUAAAAGUAAAAGAGAACGUCAGCAAUACCACAGCGACUCCAAUUUCAGACAGAAAAAAAUUGAGAACAUUAGAACGAAAUACUGUGAAGACAGUGAUUACAGGCAGAAAAAGAUUGAGAACAUCAGAACGAAAUACUGUGAAGACAGUGAUUUUAAGAAGAAAAAACUGGAAAAUAUUAGAGCUAAAUAUAAGAACAAUAUUAAUGUACAACAGUCAAAAUGUGAAAAAUCAAAGGAUAAAUAUCGCAGAAACCCAACCUUUAAAGCAAGUGUAUGUGAAUAUUCAAAGAAUAAAUACAGCAAAAACCCCACCUUUAAAGCAAGCGUACGUGAAUACUCUAAAAAGAAAUAUCAUGACAAUGAAAAUUUCAGAAUGAGUAUAAUACAAAAAAAAGAGCUGAAAUGUCUGCAAAACAGAAGGACAGACAGAAAGAUAUCGAUUUCACUAUUAAUCAGUUUCAUCAAGAAGUCAGUACAGGCCCAGAAUUUGUUUGCUGUGUUUGUCAUCGUUUAUUGUUCAGAAAACAGGUUAUUGAAUGUAAAAGAGAUUGCUAUAAAAUCAGAGGUCAACAAAUUACAGAUUUGGCUGAAAGAUGUAUUACAAAAAAGUAUUUACACAUAUGCAAUACUGAAUGUGAAAAUAGAUGCCAGUUAUCAGGUAAUCCAGCUUGUAAAUUGUGGAUUUGCUAUACAUGCCAUCGUAAAAUUCUGGGUGGAAGAUUGCCUGAAGAGAGUAUUGCCAACAACAUGCAUUUGGUGGACAUUCCAAAAGAACUAAAAGGUCUAAACUCAUUGGAGGAACAUCUUAUUGCACGCAAUAUUCCUUUUAUGAAGUUGCUUUGUCUUCCACGUGGAAAACAGAAAGGCUGUCAUGGGCCGGUUGUUUC